AUGAAUGAUCUCCAGGGCCACUUGUCAUUGCUGGAGUGUGCUGAUUUCUGUUUCCUGCUGGCUGACACAGAGCUUUAUAAAGACACCACAGGGCUUGCUGAGAAUGACUGGGCCAAGAUGCAAGAUGCGGGUUUAGAAAGCCACAAAGGAGGGAGAAUGUCUCCAGUCAGCACUUCUUCCUCAGCUUCUCACAGACGAGGGGACCGUCCCUUCUGCUCUGUACCCCAGGCUGGCGAACAAAGGCCCAGGCUUCAAACUCUGCGUUGGGGGGUGUUCUCUCCCAGGUCGUGCAAAGCGCAGGCUGGCCCCCCGAGGGAGAGCCCGCCCACCUCCAGAUGCCUCCCAUGCCUCAUGCUUGUCCUGGGCCCACUCACAGGUCUAACCUGGGGGCCUGGGCGACCUCAGCGCUGAGUUUGGAGACUUCUCAGCCUGCACACAUGCGGUGGCCUGAAGAACAGUGUGGAAGGACCUCCUCCAAGGGCUCUCCAGUCUGCCCUGCACUGUGCACUGUGCUUGUGAGGCUGCGGUUCCCCAGGGAACUCCACUCCCUCGGCUGUGCCAUCCUUGACCUGGCCUGCUAGGUAAUGGAGGACUUCUGGUCCCAAACUUAAAAUGGGUCUCAUUAGCUACUUCCCUGUAGCCUCAUCAGGCACCCUGGGGGAAUAGCAGCUUGGGGCAUUACUUUGCAAGCUUUCGUGCCCAGUGCCCAGUUGUCAGGUUGGAUGAACAGAAGCGUGGCGUGCGAAACAGUGGAGGGGAGUCUUCUGUGCUACUCCAGCUGGUCAGAUACACCAAGAGAGCUGCCUGUCCACAGAAAAACCAAGGGGCCCAGGCCACUGAAUGGGGAGCAGGUGGCAAGGACUGGGCAACACACCUGUGUCCAAAAGGUGCUCAAACUGAACAGAAAACAAGGAAAUGUAGACUAAAGCUGAAGAGCAAAAAGGUGCUUUUCACACCUGUCAGAUGGACCGUCCCAGUACCUGGGACCAGAGCGGGUAAUCUCUCUCUGCUCUCAGCACCGGCCAUGCUGUUAGCUAUAGGAGAGCGGGAGGGCAUUGCCAAGGGCAGAACCAGUGUGUUUUGGAAGGAAAUGAAAGCGGGUUCUUCUCCUUUAGGUUCAUAACGGCUGUGGAGCUAGUGAGAGGUGUGGGAUGGAGUGGGUCCUGGCGUCAUUUUCCAAGCUCCUUUUCUGCCUCUAAAGCUUGCUGUGGGGCUCAAGGGACUGGGUGCUGAGUCCUGCCUUGCAGGCGAGGGUGCAGUAUGGUGUAGCCCAGAGAUUCAGCUUUAGAACCUAUUCCCAUGGACGUACUGUNNNNNNNNNNNNNNNNN
rnacentral:lncRNA from 1 species